rnacentral:rRNA from 1 species
UACGUAGGGUGCGAGCGUUGUCCGGAAUUAUUGGGCGUAAAGAGCUCGUAGGCGGUCUGUCGCGUCGGUCGUGAAAACUUGGGGCUUAACCCUGAGCUUGCGGUCGAUACGGGCAUGACUGGAGUUCGGUAGGGGAGACUGGAAUUCCUGGUGUAGCGGUGAAAUGCGCAGAUAUCAGGAGGAACACCGGUGGCGAAGGCGGUUCUCUGGGCAUUACCUGACGCUGAGGAGCGAAAGUGUGGGGAGCGAUCAGG